AAGUCACUUCACUUCCCUGUCACUCAGAUAACCUCAUCUGUAAAAUGGGGAUUAAGACUGUGGGACAAGGACUGUGCCCAACCUAAUUAACUUUUAUCUACCACGACUCUUAGAAUAGUACCUGGCACACAGCAAGCACUUAACAAAUACCAUUAAAAAAACAAAACAAAAAACCCAGAUGACUGGUUUGUCCCUCCUGGGAGCCAACAGUUCCAGCUGUCUGAACACUUGGACUUGGGGUCCAAAUUGGGCCUAUUUAGGGCUUCUUUUGUCCAUCAGCACCAUCGUUCCCACCUUCUCCCAGGGACCAGAUCAGGACAACUGGGGAAUUCUGUUCUCUUUUUCAGGAAAAAGCAGCUGGGCCCAUGAAAUAAUAAUCCAGACCCUGGAGGAUUCGGCCUGGGGUCAUCCUCAUCGUCAAUGACCAGACCCAGGAAGAGGUUCCUGGCUUUAGCGCCUCCCUUGGAAACCCGAUCCUUGUCGAUCUACAAGGAAGGAUUGAUCCGCCCCGUGACAGGGUAGAUUGUGAACUCCUCCGUUCGACUGCGAGAUCCUUGAGAUCUCAAUUGGUUGCUAUUAUGGUGGCCGGGGAUGGAAUUCCAAAAUAACCCGGACCCUCGAGAUGCAUGGGAUGUCACAGGUGUUACGUCGGCAUAUAGCAUGAUGUGAUGAUGUCGUGAAGCUCUGGGGCGGGAGCCAAAGUGGAGGGUGCUAGAAAUAAAAAAUACUGGAUGUAAAGGUGUCUGCUCCCGGCUUCCUACUGGGCAGGGAACAGACCAGCUGAAAUCUGGCCUGUCCAAUAUAAAUUCAGAUAACUGUUCCCCCGUAUCGCUGAGCAUAUCGUUCUCGGUCUCGCAUCCAAUAUUGUCCGGCUUGACCAAACGGAAAGAGCACAGGCUUGGGAGGCAGAGAACUCAUGUUCUAUUCCCGGCUCUGCCAAUUGUUUGCUGUGUGACUUCGGUCAAGUCGCUUAACUUCUCGGUGCCUCAGUUUCCCCAACUGUAAAAAAUAAUUCUAUUUACUCACUUAACUUCUCUGUGCCUCAGUUUCCCUGUAAAAUAUAAUUCUAUUUAUAAUGAUGCUACUGAUGCCUGUUUACUUGUUUUGAUGUCUGUCUCCCCCCCUAGACUGUGAGCCCGUUGUGGGCAGGGAUUGUCUCUAUUUGUUGCUGAAUUGUACUUCUCAAAUGCUUAGUAGGUGCUCUGCACACAGUAAGCGCUCAAAAAAUACGAUUGAGUGAAUGAAUGAAUGAAUGAAUGAGGAUUUGAUACCUGUUCUCUCUCCUCCUUGGACUGUGAGCCCCAUGUGGGACUGGGACUGUGUACCCCAACAGUGCUUGACACAAAGUAAGCACUUAAUAAAAACCACAAAAAAGAACCAAAAAAGUAAAACCUGUCACUCCUUCUAGGGCUUCUUGGUAUGGU
rnacentral:lncRNA from 1 species